rnacentral:rRNA from 1 species
GAGUUUGAUCCUGGCUCAGAUUGAACGCUGGCGGUAUGCUUAACACAUGCAAGUCGAACGGAAACGAUACUAGCUUGCUAGUAGGCGUCGAGUGGCGGACGGGUGAGUAACGCGUAGGAAUCUGCCUGAUAGUGGGGGAUAGCCCGAAGAAAUUCGGAUUAAUACCGCAUAAUCUAUUCGUAGUAAAGUGGGGGACUUUCGAGCCUCACGCUAUCAGAUGAGCCUGCGUAAGAUUAGCUUGUUGGUAGGGUAAAAGCCUACCAAGGCGACGAUCUUUAGCUGGUCUGAGAGGAUGAUCAGCCACAUCGGGACUGAGACACGGCCCGAACUCCUACGGGAGGCAGCAGUGGGGAAUAUUGGACAAUGGGGGCAACCCUGAUCCAGCAAUACCGCGUGUGUGAAGAAGGCCUGAGGGUUGUAAAGCACUUUCAAUUGUGAAGAAAAGUUAGCGGUUAAUAACCGUUAGCCUUGACGUUAACUUUAGAAGAAGCACCGGCUAACUCCGUGCCAGCAGCCGCGGUAAUACGGAGGGUGCAAGCGUUAAUCGGAAUUACUGGGCGUAAAGCGUGCGUAGGCGGUUUAUUAAGUCAGAUGUGAAAGCCCCGGGCUUAACCUGGGAACUGCAUUUGAAACUGGUCAACUAGAGUAUGGUAGAGGAAAGUGGAAUUUCUGGUGUAGCGGUGAAAUGCGUAGAUAUCAGAAGGAACAUCAAUGGCGAAGGCAGCUUUCUGGACCAAUACUGACGCUGAGGUACGAAAGCGUGGGUAGCAAACAGGAUUAGAUACCCUGGUAGUCCACGCCGUAAACGAUGAUAACUAGCCGUUGGGGGGAUUUACCCUUUAGUGGNGAAGCUAACGCGUUAAGUUAUCCGCCUGGGGAGUACGGCCGCAAGGUUAAAACUCAAAGGAAUUGACGGGGACCCGCACAAGCGGUGGAGCAUGUGGUUUAAUUCGAUGCAACGCGAAGAACCUUACCUGGUCUUGACAUCCUGCGAACUUUCUAGAAAUAGAUUGGUGCCUUCGGGAACGCAGUGACAGGUGCUGCAUGGCUGUCGUCAGCUCGUGUCGUGAGAUGUUGGGUUAAGUCCCGUAACGAGCGCAACCCCUAUCCUUAUUUGCCAGCACAUCAUGGUGGGAACUAUAAGGAGACUGCCGGUGAUAAACCGGAGGAAGGCGGGGACGACGUCAAGUCAUCAUGGCCCUUACGACCAGGGCUACACACGUGCUACAAUGGGAAGGACAAAGAGCCGCGAAGCCGCGAGGUGUAGCUAAUCUCAUAAACCUUUUCGUAGUCCGGAUUGGAGUCUGCAACUCGACUCCAUGAAGUCGGAAUCGCUAGUAAUCGUAGAUCAGAAUGCUACGGUGAAUACGUUCCCGG